GCCAUGGCUUCGCAGAGCACUCUGGAAGCAGUGUGGUUGGGGCUCCUCCUCAGCUCUCUCUGGAAGGCUGCAGAGAGCAAGGACCAAGUAUUUCAGCCUUCCACUGUGGUCUCUUUGGAGGGAGCUGUGGCGGAAAUCUCCUGCAAUCACUCCGUGUCCAAUGCUUAUGACUUCUUCUGGUACCUUCAUUUCCCAGGAUGCGCACCAAGACUCCUUAUUAAGGGCUCAAGGCCUUCUCAGCAGGGACGCUAUAACAUGACAUAUGAGCGGUUCUCUUCAUCACUGCUUAUUCUCCAGGUGCAGACGGCAGAUGCAGCCGUUUACUACUGUGCCCUGUGGGACACAGAGGCAGGGAACCCAUGA